rnacentral:rRNA from 1 species
CCUACGGGAGGCAGCAGUGGGGAAUAUUGGGCAAUGGACGCAAGUCUGACCCAGCAACGCCGCGUGAAGGAAGAAGGCUUUCGGGUUGUAAACUUCUUUUAAGGGGGAAGAGCAGAAGACGGUACCUCUUGAAUAAGCCACGGCUAACUACGGGCCAGCAGCCGCGGUAAUACGUAGGUGGCAAGCGUUGUCCGGAUUUACUGGGUGUAAAGGGCGUGCAGCCGGGAAGAAAAGUCAGAUGUGAAAUCCCGGGGCUCAACCGGGGAACUGCAUUUGAAACUGGUUUUCUUGUGUAUCGGAGAGGGGAGUAGAAUUCCAGGGGUAGCGGUGAAAUGCGUAGAGAUUAGGAAGAAUACCGGUGGCGAAGGCGGAUUACUGGACGACAACUGACGGUGAGGCGCGAAAGCGUGGGGAGCAAACAGGAUUAGAUACCCGAGUAGUC